rnacentral:rRNA from 1 species
UAGGGAAUAUUGGGCAAUGGACGGAAGUCUGGCCCAGCCAUGCCGCGUGCAGGGAGAAGGCGCUCAGCGUUGUAAACUGCUUUUAUCGGGGAAGAACGGCAGUCCUGCGGGAUUGUGUGACGGUACUCGAGGAAUAAGCACCGGCUAACUCCGUGCCAGCAGCCGCGGUAAUACGGAGGGUGCGAGCGUUGUCCGGAUUUAUUGGGUUUAAAGGGUGCGUAGGUGGUUGAGUAAGUCUGGUUUGAAAGUCAGUCGCUUAACGAUUGAGGGUGGCUGGAUACUGCUGAACUUGAAUGCCCUGGAGGCAGGUGGAACGGGUUGUGUAGCGGUGAAAUGCAUAGAUAUUACACAGAACACCAAUUGCGAAGGCAGCUUACUAAACUGUUACUGACGCUGAUGCACGAAAGCGCGGGGAGCGAACA